UACGUAGGGGGCUAGCGUUGUCCGGAAUCACUGGGCGUAAAGCGCACGUAGGCGGACCAGCAAGUUAGGGGUGAAAUCCCGGGGCUCAACCCCGGAACUGCCUUUAAAACUGUUGGUCUGGAGGUCGAGAGAGGUGAGUGGAAUUCCGAGUGUAGAGGUGAAAUUCGUAGAUAUUCGGAGGAACACCAGUGGCGAAGGCGGCUCACUGGCUCGAUACUGACGCUGAGGUGCGAAAGCGUGGGGAGCAAACAGG
rnacentral:rRNA from 1 species